AGCGUACACGGUGGAUGCCCUGGCAGUCAGAGGCGAUGAAGGACGUGCUAAUCUGCGAUAAGCGUCGGUAAGGUGAUAUGAACCGUUAUAACCGGCGAUUUCCGAAUGGGGAAACCCAGUGUGAUUCGUCACACUAUCAUUAACUGAAUCCAUAGGUUAAUGAGGCGAACCGGGGGAACUGAAACAUCUAAGUACCCCGAGGAAAAGAAAUCAACCGAGAUUCCCCCAGUAGCGGCGAGCGAACGGGGAGCAGCCCAGAGCCUGAAUCAGUGUGUGUGUUAGUGGAAGCGUCUGGAAAGGCGCGCGAUACAGGGUGACAGCCCCGUACACAAAAAUGCACAUGCUGUGAGCUCGAUGAGUAGGGCGGGACACGUGGUAUCCUGUCUGAAUAUGGGGGGACCAUCCUCCAAGGCUAAAUACUCCUGACUGACCGAUAGUGAACCAGUACCGUGAGGGAAAGGCGAAAAGAACCCCGGCGAGGGGAGUGAAAAAGAACCUGAAACCGUGUACGUACAAGCAGUGGGAGCACGCUUAGGCGUGUGACUGCGUACCUUUUGUAUAAUGGGUCAGCGACUUAUAUUCUGUAGCAAGGUUAACCGAAUAGGGGAGCCGAAGGGAAACCGAGUCUUAACUGGGCGUUAAGUUGCAGGGUAUAGACCCGAAACCCGGUGAUCUAGCCAUGGGCAGGUUGAAGGUUGGGUAACACUAACUGGAGGACCGAACCGACUAAUGUUGAAAAAUUAGCGGAUGACUUGUGGCUGGGGGUGAAAGGCCAAUCAAACCGGGAGAUAGCUGGUUCUCCCCGAAAGCUAUUUAGGUAGCGCCUCGUGAAUUCAUCUCCGGGGGUAGAGCACUGUUUCGGCAAGGGGGUCAUCCCGACUUACCAACCCGAUGCAAACUGCGAAUACCGGAGAAUGUUAUCACGGGAGACACACGGCGGGUGCUAACGUCCGUCGUGAAGAGGGAAACAACCCAGACCGCCAGCUAAGGUCCCAAAGUCAUGGUUAAGUGGGAAACGAUGUGGGAAGGCCCAGACAGCCAGGAUGUUGGCUUAGAAGCAGCCAUCAUUUAAAGAAAGCGUAAUAGCUCACUGGUCGAGUCGGCCUGCGCGGAAGAUGUAACGGGGCUAAACCAUGCACCGAAGCUGCGGCAGCGACACUAUGUGUUGUUGGGUAGGGGAGCGUUCUGUAAGCCUGUGAAGGUGUACUGUGAGGUAUGCUGGAGGUAUCAGAAGUGCGAAUGCUGACAUAAGUAACGAUAAAGCGGGUGAAAAGCCCGCUCGCCGGAAGACCAAGGGUUCCUGUCCAACGUUAAUCGGGGCAGGGUGAGUCGACCCCUAAGGCGAGGCCGAAAGGCGUAGUCGAUGGGAAACAGGUUAAUAUUCCUGUACUUGGUGUUACUGCGAAGGGGGGACGGAGAAGGCUAUGUUGGCCGGGCGACGGUUGUCCCGGUUUAAGCGUGUAGGCUGGUUUUCCAGGCAAAUCCGGAAAAUCAAGGCUGAGGCGUGAUGACGAGGCACUACGGUGCUGAAGCAACAAAUGCCCUGCUUCCAGGAAAAGCCUCUAAGCAUCAGGUAACAUCAAAUCGUACCCCAAACCGACACAGGUGGUCAGGUAGAGAAUACCAAGGCGCUUGAGAGAACUCGGGUGAAGGAACUAGGCAAAAUGGUGCCGUAACUUCGGGAGAAGGCACGCUGAUAUGUAGGUGAAGUCCCUCGCGGAUGGAGCUGAAAUCAGUCGAAGAUACCAGCUGGCUGCAACUGUUUAUUAAAAACACAGCACUGUGCAAACACGAAAGUGGACGUAUACGGUGUGACGCCUGCCCGGUGCCGGAAGGUUAAUUGAUGGGGUCAGCGCAAGCGAAGCUCUUGAUCGAAGCCCCGGUAAACGGCGGCCGUAACUAUAACGGUCCUAAGGUAGCGAAAUUCCUUGUCGGGUAAGUUCCGACCUGCACGAAUGGCGUAAUGAUGGCCAGGCUGUCUCCACCCGAGACUCAGUGAAAUUGAACUCGCUGUGAAGAUGCAGUGUACCCGCGGCAAGACGGAAAGACCCCGUGAACCUUUACUAUAGCUUGACACUGAACAUUGAGCCUUGAUGUGUAGGAUAGGUGGGAGGCUUUGAAGUGUGGACGCCAGUCUGCAUGGAGCCGACCUUGAAAUACCACCCUUUAAUGUUUGAUGUUCUAACGUUGACCCGUGAUCCGGGUUGCGGACAGUGUCUGGUGGGUAGUUUGACUGGGGCGGUCUCCUCCUAAAGAGUAACGGAGGAGCACGAAGGUUGGCUAAUCCUGGUCGGACAUCAGGAGGUUAGUGCAAUGGCAUAAGCCAGCUUGACUGCGAGCGUGACGGCGCGAGCAGGUGCGAAAGCAGGUCAUAGUGAUCCGGUGGUUCUGAAUGGAAGGGCCAUCGCUCAACGGAUAAAAGGUACUCCGGGGAUAACAGGCUGAUACCGCCCAAGAGUUCAUAUCGACGGCGGUGUUUGGCACCUCGAUGUCGGCUCAUCACAUCCUGGGGCUGAAGUAGGUCCCAAGGGUAUGGCUGUUCGCCAUUUAAAGUGGUACGCGAGCUGGGUUUAGAACGUCGUGAGACAGUUCGGUCCCUAUCUGCCGUGGGCGCUGGAGAAUUGAGGGGGGCUGCUCCUAGUACGAGAGGACCGGAGUGGACGCAUCACUGGUGUUCGGGUUGUCAUGCCAAUGGCACUGCCCGGUAGCUAAAUGCGGAAGAGAUAAGUGCUGAAAGCAUCUAAGCACGAAACUUGCCCCGAGAUGAGUUCUCCCUGACUCCUUGA
rnacentral:rRNA from 1 species